GCUSUGGGGCCCAGGYUUCCCUSCUUUCCUCCCCUGCCCUUGCUGCUCUGCUCACAGCCAGGCCAGGCAGUGUUUCAGUGCUGGACAAAGAGCCAAGGGUGGACCCAGCGUUUGGGACCAGGGGAAGGUCUGAGCCUGCUGUGACCCACGGUGAGGUGCAGUCUCUGUUAUCACCUGUGGCCUUUUCACCAGUCUGAAUGCAGCCACCUCACCUGGGUUAUGGCCAAGAUGAAAACCACUGCAGGCAGCGUUUCUUGCCAGGCCUUUCUGUGAAAAAUGGUACUGUCAAAGAAAAGCAAGGGCAAUGUGACCAGCUCAAACAUUUUCUCCAGCUAGUACCCCUAAAUCUUCUUAGCACAAGUAAUUUGUUUCCAUUUACUAUUAGAGUUGUUAUUUUUCCCUUUUGCUUUUGUUAUGUCUGCUUUUCUGUUGGUGGUUCUGUUCUAACCAUAGGCUUUCCUUACAGAUGGGUGAAAGUAAAAUACACAUGUAAUCAUGAAGAGCUAUGUGUUUCAUUUUUUUUUUUUUUUCAUUUUUCUGGAUGGGUUAGAGUUUUUUCCCUUCGCUUGCUGGUUUUUGCAUUUUGUUUAAUAAAAGUGAUGAUUAAUGAUACAUUCUUUUUCUCCUCCUCUUUAAAGCUUUCACAUACUCCUAUAUCAAAGUGCAUAACAGUUGCUACUUUUAUUGUGCAGAUUCUCUAGAAGAAAUGUAGUUUUGAAAAUAAUUUCUAAUGUUAUUUUCUCUUCAAUAUUUUUUUUCAGCUUUAUGAAGUGUUACUUGUGGCUUAGUUUACCUUUUCCUUGCCUAAAUGUGCUUCCACCCUCAUUACCUUCCAGCCUUUCCUCACAGGCAGCUUGGCUCCAUGAAAGCUCUACCAUCUCCAUUGGCAGGAGCAUUUAAAAAAAGGAGUUUCUGUCCUGCAGUGUUUUCAACAUUUUCAACAUUUACUGUUCUGCAUAACCCAGCAUUGACUUCCUGAAAAUUGUUCACAAAAUCCUGAUCCUAAUGCCAAGCUGUCAGCAAACCCCCAGCCCCUGAGGAAGGCUGGCUCUWCCCCUGACCUUCACCCACAGCCCUGCAGCAAGGAUUUGAACUUGUGCUUCCUCUUGUGCAGGGCAUUAGACAGCUCUGAACAUUAGACUAGGCUUGCAGUCUUUCUCAAGCUUCAAAAUCCUUUUAAAUUCUCUGUAGUGUAUGCAGAUCUCUGAGUAUAGAGAAUUUAAGCAACUUAACAGGGACUUAAUUUACUUACUAAUUUCUUACAGAUUGUUGGAAAGCAGACCAGUAUAUUUCUGUUAAGGGAUAUCAUAGGGUGUGGGUUCAAGCUGCUCUCUUGAUUUUUUGGURUGCUGGUGACACCAACCUUGGUAUUACACUUUAUUCCAAAUUUCAUCUGGAACCUGAGAAGUCUUUACCACUGUAGGUUUUGUUGCUUGUUUUUGUCAAAACUGGCAUGGUCCCAUAAGCAAUUUUAGCUUCACUGAAUUACUCUUCAGUAUAGAAGUGUUUAUUAAAAAAAUCCUGAGUAGCAGCAGCUGAUAAUUUUAUGAUUGACUAUGGUGAUGUCUCCUGGCAACAUGACUGAAGAAAGAUCAACCCACAUUGCUCAUUUGUCCAGACAUUUCCAGAUUGCUGUGUUUAUCUUGUUGAUGCUAAGCUAUUUCACUUCACCAGUACUCCCUGCACUGCAUUUUGUGCUCAUUUCAUGCUGAAAAGGCUUCUCCCAAAGCGACACCAAAGGUAUAAGCCCCAUUCCCAGAGUCCUGUUUUGGGAUGUGCAAAAUGCCCUCAAGCAGCUGAGCAGUGCUACCCCUCAUCACCAAAGCAUUCACCUCCCUCUGUCCUGCCCUUUCCCAGCAGCUCUUUGUGCCAGGGUUUGCCAAGGAUGGAGGCCUGUGGAGUUCAUUUUGUUGCCUCACACAGGAUUUCAAAUCCAGCUGCAGCCUCUGGACCUUUCAUCCGGCACCUCCUCUGUGCUGRUGACGAUGACAAAUGAGUGACUUGCUCACAGUUAACCUCACUUCAACCUCGCUGCAUUUGUGCUGCAAAGGAGGCCAGGUGAGCAUCAGAAGCUUUCCAGGUCCUGCCCCUGUCUCUCUUACUUGUGUGGCCUUAAUUUUGACUUCUUUGGGGCACGUUCUAAAAGCUGCCUGUUUUUUACAUGGCUUUGAAGGAAGUUUAAAGAAAUCCUGUGAAGGUACCUUGAAAAUGUUCCUGCCAUCACUGUCCAGUGCCUGAUACAAGUUGUGUUCUUCACUUCAUUAUUUAAACUGCUGGCAGGGUCUUUUCAAGUCACCUCUCUGCUCCCUUGAUGGUGUGAAUAAGGUUAUCUCUGCAGGGCAAGCAGCUAAAGUGUCCCCUAGAGCCAAGGYAUUUGCAGUAUUUUUAUUGUCAUUUCCCUUUUAAGCCUCUGUCAGUAAGAAUAGAGUUUGGCCUGCUGUAUUCAGCUUAAGAAAUUAAGGGAGUGGAUUUCUACAAAUGUUCCUGGAUUCAUAUAUCAACCCCACUCUCCUUGGGUACAGGAAUCCCUCUGAGGCGAGAGUAGCAAGUUCCUGUAGCUGCCUCUGGCUGUAAGAAAAAAAAAAAAAAAGUUGAACAAUUGGCUCUUGCUGUGGUUGAAAAGCACCAAUAAAGGACUGUAAAGAGUUAAAUCCUGCUGUAUUUCAGGGCUUUUCCCUUUAGUCAUGYUCCUCUUGAACUGAACACUCUUCAGAACACCUCUUCACACAUUAGGCUCUCUGUUUUAUUCUCACCUGUGCCAAGGUAAACCUUUCAGCCAUUGGUUUGACCAGCCUUACAGAGAACAGAAUUGGGCAAUUUUGUCUAAUCUCAUCAUGUUGAAAAAGAUGUACUAAAACACGAAAAUAUUAAAAAUGCAGUAGCUGUGCACAAGUCUAUUGUCAUCACAUUUUUCCAAGAAACCAUUCCAAGCUUUUAUCUGUUGUUGAGCUUUGCUUCUAUYGCUAAUAAACCUGUAUGAGACAAACAAUGAAAUAUUGAUUUGCCAACUUGAAACUAUUUCAGCUGCCAUUUUAUUCAGUUUACCCACUGGCAGCACUGCAGAAUGCAGGUUUUGUUGCAGACUGAAUGAACCCAUUGGUUUGAGCAUGACACGGUGAAAUUGUAACACAGCAAUAAAAUUGCAGGGCACAUUUAUGCCAUCUGUUUCGUCGUGGAAAAGCAAAGAACAUCUUAGUGAUGGCCUCAAACAAUAAAUCUGGAUUUAGAAAAGAAAAAUAAUUGGAGCUUGUAACGUUAGGAACAGCCUAAGAUGUUGCACGUCCUCUAUCCCCCACUCUUGCUCAGUGGUGAAAUUCCCUCAAGUGUUUCUUGGUUUAGACAUCCUUAGCUGUUACAGUCUGCUGGGUUAAGGGCUCAAAAAAACCCCUCUAAGCCACAGAACACUGAUUCAACAAAUGUUUGCCUGCUCCUAUCUCAUCUAUUGCUUUUAUCAGCUUUCUAUUUCUGGAGUGGGCAGGCACAAAGGCAGUCAGGUUUGCAUUGCUCCACCAUCAGUCAGUGAUAGGAAACAAAGUUCAAAGGUCAUGUUUGAUGAGCAAGGGGCAAACAUGGAAGAGUUUUGUUCAAUCUUUCAUCAAAACAAUAUAAAAUCUAAGAUUUGAGCCCUGUGUUAUCAGAGAAAAAGGAAAUUAGAUUGUUGUAAUAAAAAUAGAAUGUGCAGAAAAGGUUUUUUCAUUAGGAAAUGAGUGAUGUAAGAUAGGAGGGUUCUCUUACUCUGUUCUCUCAUCAAACAUUUGAUAUUGUGGUCCUUAUAKUUUUGAGUAACCUGUGAUCUGAAAGAUUGAUCCAAAAACAAUGUCUUGUAGCUGCUGAAAUCUGUAGAUACUGAAUGUGAUUAAAAUGAGUCAUGAAUCCUGUUACUAAUUAUUUUUGUUGCUAAUAUAGUUAUAAAUAUUAUGGUUUAUCUACCUAAUAAGAAUUUUUUUAAGUCUUUCUUCACCUUCAAACUGAAAGAGAGUAGAUUUAGAUUAGAUAUUAGGAAGAAAUUCUUCCCUGUGAGGGUUGUGAGGCCCUGGCACAGGUUGCCCAGAGAAGCUGUGGAUGCCCCAUCUCUGGAAAUGUUCAAGGCCRGGUUGGAUGGGGCUCUGAGCAGCCUGGGAUAGUGCAAGGUGUCCCUGCCCAUGGUAGGGGGGGUGGAAUGAGAUCAUUUUUGAGAUCCCUUCCAACCCAAACCAUUCUGUGAUUCUAUUCUGUGAUUCCAUUCUGUGAUUCCAGUCUGUGAUUCCAUUCUGUGAUUAUUUGGUGGAUGAGAUCUCUUGCAGGGAGUUUCUCCACAGUUCCCUAUUGUUUUCUAGGCCCUCUUUCCCAAUCCUCUCUGAUGUACCUGGAUGACCUUCUGUCAUAGUAUCUGUUCAGAAUCUGCAUAUUGUUUUAUGGAAGAGACAAGGAGAAGACAAAAGAUGUCAGAGGUGUUGAAGUCAUUACUUUCUGGUGCAGCUACAGCACUGUGGUGUCUCAAGGCAUCUGCACACACUCCCAGUGUCAAAAUCCUUCCCAGGCACGUCCUACUCUGUUCAACUGCAUCAUCCCCUGUUCCUACUCCUGAUUUCUUACCUGCCAAAAUGUGGCACUUUCCUACAGCCUCCCCCACAAAAUGCUGCUUCACAGGAUGAGACCUKCAUAGCUGAUUGAGUCUACCAGCAGCUUCUGGGAAGGUUUGCAUCCUCACUGAGCCCUCUCCAGUAGGCACCUGGUUCCCUGCCUGGCACAAAUCAGUGCCUGUCAGAUAUUAAAUGAGAAGGAUGGAAGCAACUGUGUUUGUUUGUGUUUAAGCCUCAGAAGGCACAGUUUUCAGGUUUGUUUUUUUAAUAGUGUUUGCCAGUUUUAAGAUGAGAGCUUGAAAAAUGUCAUUAAAAUGAAGAAUGGUCACAAGGUAAUAAAGAAACAAUCUUCUUGCUUUAAUGACUUGAGCUAAAAGCUAAAUGACUGUAGCAGCUCAGAUUGUAAAAGCAGUGGGAAAUUUAAUGAACAGUGACCCCACAGGAGAGUCAAUCUGUCUCUUAAUGUUUAGUUUUGUAAUUUCUUCUGAAAUGUAAUAAACUUCUAUUAUAUAAUCUAUUGGUUACAGAUCCUGGGGUCAGGCUCCCAUUGAGCUUAACUCUGCCAAUCUGUCUCACUUGAAAUUCCUGACCUUCCCUGUGAAAUAGUGAAACGGUGGCAAUUAUCCAAAAUCCAACAUCUGCAUGUGCACAUCCAUCACAGUGCUCAAAUUUAACUGGAGAUUUGUGAAUUGUUUACAAACUGCAUAUCACACUAAAUCUGUAUUUUUUUCUU